rnacentral:rRNA from 1 species
GUGGGGAAUAUUGGACAAUGGGCGAAAGCCUGAUCCAGCCAUGCCGCGUGUGUGAAGAAGGUCUUCGGAUUGUAAAGCACUUUAAGUUGGGAGGAAGGGCAGUAAGUUAAUACCUUGCUGUUUUGACGUUACCGACAGAAUAAGCACCGGCUAACUUCGUGCCAGCAGCCGCGGUAAUACGAAGGGUGCAAGCGUUAAUCGGAAUUACUGGGCGUAAAGCGCGCGUAGGUGGUUUUGUAAGUUGGAGGUGAAAUCCCCGGGCUCAACCUGGGAACUGCCUCCAAAACUGCAUGACUAGAGUACGGUAGAGGGUAGUGGAAUUUCCUGUGUAGCGGUGAAAUGUGUAGAUAUAGGAAGGAACACCAGUGGCGAAGGCGACUACCUGGACUGAUACUGACACUGAGGUGCGAAAGCGUGGGGAGCAAACAGGAUUAGAAACCCCGGUAGUCC